rnacentral:lncRNA from 1 species
GUAUUUCAGGGUUAUCAAUCCUGCAGUUUAAGUAGGUUAUAAAUGGUUUCUUGCUGACAACCUCAAGAACGCAUAUCAGACUUCCCAGUAUCAUCAUCGCACUCCCUCAUUUGGCAUCCCAAAACUUGCAUCACAGAUAUCCUAUUUUCUUGAUUCUUGCUCCGAAUAAAACUGGGUUUCUUUUCGUUCUUCGGCAUCAUGGAUUCUUCUUCGGGAUCAGAAUUUGAUUAUUUGUUCAAGUUAUUGAUGAUUCGGGAUUCAUGCUUUGGUUGUUUAAUUUCGACGGCAGUAACCUGCGUAUAAUCUGCUGAUAUCUAGGUUUUGUUCAUACAUCGCUUACAAGGCAUGUUGUUUCUCACUUUCUCUUGAUGGACCAGUGGUGACUGCAUUAGGCUUUGGGGAUGAGCUUGGAGUUGUCACACACUCUUCUCCAUCCCUCCCUUUGAAUGAGCAAAUGCUAACGUUUGAUAUUCUUAACCUCCCUCAAAAGAGAACGAAGUAUAAAUACAAUAAACAAGUUUUUGACCAGAAAGCAAGUUCGAUGAUCGAAAAUAUGUUGGAUCUGGUGCUUGUCCAAAUCAUGGUGGGAUUCAAUUUGUCACAUAUGUAAUCAUGGUAUGUAUGUAUGUAUGUGUUGCUUGAAAAGCAGGUGAUGGACUAAUGAUCUCAAGGAUCGAGCGAGUCAAUGACAAUGAGGGUUGCCCUGUUUUGUUGGUUCGAACUGACCAACCUAAUUGAGGUGUUAUGUGUACAAAUCAUACUUUUUGUGUCACCAUUGUUGAUAUUACAACCUAAAGACAUUCGUUUUGUGACCACUUUCUUGGUUUCAUUUAGAAAAUUCGGGGGUGGAGCUAUAGUCGGUGUAGUUUUUAAAUAGCUUUAUUUAUUUUCUGUCUGUUGCAAAAUACACCACAUCAAACCAUAGUUACUGCUUGGCUCAAGUGGGUUCCACAGGAACCCGUGAAAACACCAGUGGAGUGAAACUUAAAUAAAAAUGGCAGAUGCAAUAGCAAUAGAUACAGGUUGCUUGGCGACUGCACCAGGCAAACUUUUUUCAUCCAUAGCAGGUACUUUUGAAAUUCUAUUAUUUUGACUGCAUGUUUUUAGCUAUUAAUUUAUUGCAUUUAUCUUCUCUUGCUACAUAGGAAUAGUAUUUUUUUGUUGCCAUUCCACUGUUCAUUAUGAUAAAACCACAAUUUUCCGUGUUACUAUUGUUGAUAUCACAAUCUGCAGACAUGACAUUUGUUUAGAUAAGGGUUGUUAAAUGGGGCAAUGGGGCAAAACUUGGAAAAUAUAGAUGGUAUGAAAAUGGGUCAAACAGGUUGAAACACACAAUAAGAAGAUGGUUGUUCUCUUAAUCUCUUGUCUUGUAAGAUUGAGGGAUCUCCAAUUGUGGGUGCAAAAAAUAAUUAAUUUGAUGGUGCGCGCUACUUUCAUAAUGGCAGUGUGAAUAUAAUGUUUAUACAACAAAUAAGAUAGAAUUUUGAUUUAUUAGGUCAAAUGAAAAUGCCAUUUUUGGUAUGAUAUCUAUAAUUUCAAGAUAAAUAUAACAAUUGGGACUUUAACAUAUGAGGAGAAGAAGCAACUGGCAUGAAAGAGAUGCAAAGAAGGCAAGGGAUGUCGAAUUAAAAAAAAAAAAAUCAUAUAUAAUGAAUUCACUUUGAGGUGUAUUUUUUUGUUGGAAUCAUAUGUAAGCUGACUUUAUUUUGUUUUAAAACAUUAAAAACUAGAUUGGAUCGGAAUGGAUAAAAUGAUAUGGAAUUCUACUCUUUA